rnacentral:rRNA from 1 species
UUGCUCUUCAACGAGGAAUUCCUAGUAGGCGUGAGUCAUCAGCUCGCGUCGAUUACGUCCCUGCCCUUUGUACACACCGCCCGUCGCUACUACCGAUUGAAUGGCUUAGUGAGGUCUCCGGAUCGGUAGCGAGGAGCCGGCAACGGCACCUCGCCGCUGAGAAGCUGAUCAAACUCGGUCAUUUAGAGGAAGUAAAAGUCGUAACAAGGUUUCCGUAGGUGAACCUGCGGAAGGAUCAUUAGUGAAUUUGGAGCCUCGCGGCUUCGCCACUUUCCGGCUGUGCGCCCUUUGCGGGGCUUGCACGCCGGGAAUCCUUCACACACCUGUGCACCGUUCGUUUGGUGGGACCUCCGGGUUCGCCAUUCGCCUUUACACCGAACGUCUGUCUCGAAUGUCUAAACUUUUAAAUAAGUGCAAUACAACUUUCAACAACGGAUCUCUUGGCUCUCGCAUCGAUGAAGAACGCAGCGAAAUGCGAUAAGUAAUGUGAAUUGCAGAAUUCAGUGAAUCAUCGAAUCUUUGAACGCACCNUGCGCCCCGUGGUAUUCCGCGGGGCAUGCCUGUUUGAGUGUCACGUGAAACCUCAUCCGGUCGAUGUCAAAGUCGCACUCGGGUGGAUUUGGACCGUGCCGUUUGUUCGGCUCGUCCUGAAAUGCAUUAGCUGGGUCGCCGGACCGUGUCGGCCGUGGUGUGAUAAUCUAUCUGCGCCUAUAAGUGCCUUUGGUUCGUGCGGUGCGGCUCAUAACCGUCCCUAACGAGACAACUCUCUUUUAACGCUUUGGCCUCAAAUCAGGUAGGACUACCCGCUGAACUUAAGCAUAUCAAUAAGCGGAGGA